rnacentral:lncRNA from 1 species
GUUGCGUAAUUAAUUAAUUGGAAUAGAGGGCAUGUAUCCCAUCAAUAUCAUCCUGGGCGAGAUCUCUUUUCUUCUUUCCAGCUUCUAUCGUUGGAUACAUGAUGGCUUCGGGAUGAUCUGUACUAUGAUGAAGGCCAAGCAGAUGUCCUAUUUCAUGAACAGUAACGGAUUCCAGGUCAGUUUGAUCCAUUGCGGGGUCAGUGCUCCAGUUCUCGUCUGCAUCGUAAUGGAGACGGCCGUCUUGUGGAUAAAAAGCAUGAGCCAGUGUUUUCCCUGGUCCAUCAAAAGGAUACCGGUCCCCAUGAUCGCCGCUGUAGAACUCAAUUACAAUAUCUGCUGAUGCACCGGCAGUCGCCUCCUGGAAAGUGAAUUUAGAAACCUUUGCCCAUGUUUGGAAAGCUUUUGAGCAGACCGACCUCAAGGUGUCCGAACCAACAACUUGGACACCGGAGCCAAAUCUGUAGGUCAGAGCAUACUUGGAAGGUGGCCACUUUUCUGCCCCGAAAGCAUAAUGAGCCACCAUGUGGACCUUCUUGUGUUUUGAUUUAGUGCUGUUCGGUUUGGUGGACGGAGUGUUUAUGAUAUCAGGCGUUCCACAUCGUGGAAUCACCAUUUGUUGUAUGGUACUAGAGUCGAGGUUACCAGUAACAUUCAGAUGAAAAUAUUCUUGGUAUGUUUUGAGUGCUAGCUCCAAGUGGUCAUCAAAAUCACUGCUUGUGAGAGUGAUAUCAUCACUUGGGUAGUACCCAAGCUUUUUGAGAUAUUGUUUGAGCUCAAUAAGCCCUUGCACAGUUUGGCCCUUUUUAACCCCUUCCAGCCCUUGAAGGAAGCUGCUAAAAGAUUGCCGAUGCUCGGGUUUCAAAGUUCUUGCCAGACCUCUGAAGGACUGGAUAGAAAAGAUAACGAGGAUUGCUGAUAAAAGAUGGGAAAGAUUAGGAGCCAUAUAUUAUGUUGUUUCGGAGAAUGGCUUCAGACGUGGGUUGUGGCUUUCAAUUCUAGUAUCGGAUGGCUAUUUAUAGGCAUAGUAUGUUGUAUUGGCAUUAGGACUAUAGAAUAUGUCUUGAGAUUUACUACUAUCCUUAUUUUUGUUAAUUCUGAUUACUUAUUUUCAAAUAUUAAUUAUUUAGACUACAUUUUUCCUUCAAGCAUCUAAUUUAUUUAUUUUCUUUCGUAGUAAUCAAUGAAAUUACUAUCUGAAUAUUUGAGUUUAACUUUCAUUUAUAUAGUUAUUAUUAGAUAUCUCUAUCCAACAAAAUCAACAACUUCAUUGUGAUUGUUUUUUAUGUAGCUUUUGUGGUUGUGAUUUUAAAAAAGUGCGGUUAGCUGUGGUUAGUUAGAUUUAGAUACGUGUUUGGUAAAAAUUGUGAUUGAAGUUUAUGUGUAGUAAAAAAACAUACUAAAAUGUUUGGUGGAAGUGUGGUUGCAGUUGCUUUUUAAAGUGCUUUUUACUUGGAAAUGUAUCAAAAUAAUAUUUGUUUUAUUUUUUUAAAAUUAUUUUUGAUAUCAGCAUAUCAAAAUGAUCUGAAAACACCAAAAAAAUAUUAAUUUGAAGUAAAGAAAAAAAUAAAAAAUUCUUAAAUUUUUUCAAAAGCGUUUUUGAAACGCUAAAACAAACAGGGUUUUACAAAACUCAGUUAAAAAAGCAUGUAAAAACUGCUUCACAAAAACUGCGUUUCAAACUCAAUUUUUUAGUGGGUCUCGUAGUAUAAAACGCAGUUUGGUUUGUUACCAAACACCUUGCCGCGUUUAUUGCACCGCAAACACAAAAGCAGGUGUAAAACAAAUGCAACCUUCUACUAUUAAGAAAGUACAUCUCUAUUCCGUGUCUCAUAAAUUUAAAUUAUCAAAUGGCUAAUCCUAAAUUGAAUCAAAGUUUUAUUUAUCAUUUCAAUAAUUUUAUUUUUGUCUUUGUUAGUCUUGAAUGAUUAAAUAUAGUAUAUUCUUUUAAUAUAUCUUUUUAUUUAAUUCAUUUAAAUAAUGUUGUUGAGAAGGAGCGCUCAAAAAAUAAAUGAUCAUGGGUUUCCACAUGUAAACCACACAAAAUACAUACAGUAGAGGUGAUGAUCUGAAAAGUCUGUAGUCUGUUAAUAGUGUGUAGACGACCCAAAAAGACAAGCCAUAAGAUGAAGGAGUGUCAUGGGACAUGUCCUAGAAACCAAAGAAGAUGGUGCAUAAUAUUCUUGGGCCUGGUAUCUGGAAGUGCCUCCCAAGAGAUCCAAAAGAGAUGCUUUCAAAUCAUUAUCCACACCUUAUAUGAAAACAUGACUCUUCUCUAGGUUGAUCAUCAGCCUUGAUAACACAACAAAGUCAUCCAGAGCCCUCAUCACAACACCCACUGAAUUGGUGUCUGCCUGACAAAAUAUCAUAAGGUCAUCAACAAAGAAUAAAUGAGUAAUACUCUCGUGUUGACACCUCUAGUGAUAGUGGUAUCUCUGGUUCUAAGCAGCCUUUCUAAGAAUACCAUCAAGCCCUUCAUAGCCAGCACAAACAAAGUUAGCUACACGCAUACUUUGGUUACGAGACAGCUUAGGGGCAUACAAUAUGUGCCAAGGACAACUAAACUAUCACAAUUCUCUGGGUUAUUCAAAGACCAAUCCGCUUUAGAAGUUAUGGAAAACAUCAAACAAGAUUGGAAGCUUUUGGUAUCGAUAAAAAAAAAAGAAUUAGAUGGUUUGAGAGAUCUAGUCACUAGUGAAAAAUACCCGAGGUGGAGAAAUCUAUCAUUGGUGACUUUCUUCAUGAAUCUCGAAUUCAAAACGGAAACUUCACAAACCGCUGAACUAAAUAAGAGAAAAAGAAUUAACAACGAGGAAGAGUUGAGAGAACAACUGGAAAAGCUCUAUGUAGAAUUGGGCACCAAUAAAGCCCUCAAGAUCUCCCUCGAGGAACAACUCUUCAUUGAAGAUAAACUGAGGAAGUUUAUGGAGUAACAGUUGAUGAACUGACCCUUAAAUGUAAAAGCUUUCACUGAACAUGAAUGAAAAGGGCAUGGACCCAAUCUUCACAGCAACAUUUUGUAUUGAUGAGUAUAAAUUUAUUAGGAAUUGGCUCAAAUCAAAUUGUCUCGACAGUUAUAAAAGGAUAAAAAUCUUACCCAAAUGAUAGCAUAUAUCAGUCAGAAAUUUGGCUAAUCCACAUUCAAAUAUGCAUCAUCAUGCAUAAUUAUACAUCCAUAUGCACUUGUGUUUAUGAAUUUCAAAAUAUGCCUAACAGGUAUUUGAAAUUUAGGUUCCCCUACUAAAAUCUACAAUACUAGGUUUUGUAAAAGGAUGGAAAAUGAUGAAAGGGCUCACUACCAAAAAGAGUUGGAUGAUGUUAAGAAUAACAUGGCUCGGGUGACUAGUUUACUCGACCAACUCUUGUAAGCACAGUCAGGGGAAGGGACAUCCAGUCAGCAUCCGACUCUAUAAUCACCGCUAGUAGCUCUAGUUAUCAUUGACCCACAAAACUUGGAAACAAAUCCCACCGCUAGACCACAAGGAACAAAAAACAUUCCAAUUACUCACCCAAUUAUGCCUGCUCAAGUACUAACCAUAAUAGAUCUAACUAAAGGGGAAUCCCAUGGGGUUAAAUCUUUUGGUCACCCUAAACAAGAUAAGUGGGUUGCCUGGGAGGAGAGGUUUAGAGUUGUUGAGGGAUUUGACGUCUAUGACUUAGUUAGAGCAGCUGAGAUAUGCCUAGUACCAAAUGUAGUGGUACCCAAAGAGUUUAGAGUGCCAGAAUUUGUCAAGUACACGGAGUUAGAAUGCCUUAAUACACACCUGAGGUCAUAUUACAACAAAAUGACGGAGGUCAUAUAUAAUGACAAGUUGCUCAUCCAUUUCUUCCAAGAAACUUGACUAGUUUCACGUUAAGCAGAAAAUAUAAGAAUAAUAUAUAUGUCAAGUGUAUGGAAAGUAAUUUUAAUAAAUACAAGACUAUUCAGACAUCAUAUUUUUAGGUAAAUAAAGGAUGAAAAACAUCUUCUUUUUAUUGGCUUCAUUCUUGUGAUAUAUUACUUGAUAGGUUAGAACAUGUAAAUUAUAAUUCUAUAUACAAGUCAAUUAAUUUUGAAUUAUUAUUAAGUAUUGUUUUUUUUAAAAUAAAGUUUAUAUUGAAUCAAAAUUCAUAAAAAUUUUGGUAUCAAAUCAAGUCUCCUUCUUGAUCUUCCUCUCCAUCUCUUUGUUGAUGUAGAUUUUUAUUGUCCGACAAAAAUAGAAUGUAAGUUACUCAAUGUUUUAAAAAUUAUUAUUUAAUUACUAAAAUACACAUUAUUACUUAUAAUAACCGGUUAAAAAGGUACCUUAAUGAAUAAAAAGGACAUAAUAUAAUACCUAAUUAAUUAUAUUAUUUCAAUUUUCCAGGGUAUCACACUAGUUUCGAUUAAGAUUUUAGAUGACAACCUUACUCAAAUUAAGAUCUAUAUAUGGCAAUAUAAAUUUCCGGAAGUAUAUUCAAAAUAAUCAUCAAGUAAGAGGCCUUAGUUUCAUAACCAAAAGAACCGGUCUUCUUAUCAACAGCAGAAGCAAUCCUUCUUUUCUUUUCUUUUUUCCUUUUCUAUUUAUAAGCAAAAUAGUACCAGGAACGCCUAUGAAGAGGCAGCAGGAAAUUGUAGCUAAAGAAGAUUAAAAACAAAUCACACUAUAUUACUAUCAAAACUCAUGCCACUGCUUCUAAAGUGCAAGACCUCAUCAGAAGCAGAUACCAAGACCAAUCAACUCGAGAAAAUUCAAUCCUAUGGGAGCAUCUUGGGUUUUCCUUUAUGAUGGCUAUCGGAUGUCCACAGCAUUACAACUGGAGUUUUGCUCCGCAUCAAACAACUCAUCACGUCGGUAUUAUGUAUUCAUCCUCGCCGGGCCAAGGCAAAAGUGUCGUCUUCAUGGGACAGAUUUCUCUUGUAAGGUAUGGAAAAUAUCGGCAUCAAUUCCAUCUCCAUCUCCGAUCUUUCCUUGCAUCAAAUGUUUUGUUUGAUCUUUUGGGCCAGGAGUUUGGGAUCCAAUGAUGUAAGGGUAAAAUAAUGAUUCGUGGUCAUCAGCAAGUCUAUGGGAUUUGGUAUUCAGACUUCAUAUAUUUACAAGUAUCCUCCGACAACUCUUGAUAUCUCGUCGAUGCAGUCAUGGCAACAGGAAGUCUAUGGGUUUUGGCCGUAAAUGGCGCCGAGAGAGCCCUACCAUCAAAUGCAUUAUCGUCUUCAGCUUCAUUAUCGUUUGUCCUUUCCAACACGUACCAAAUGGUUUGCCCUCCGAUUCAGGUUGAUGCAUCUUUCAGUCAGCAUUAAGGCUCGGUAAUUAUAUUUCCAAUGAUAAAGAAACUUUUGGAUCUAUGCCCACUCCAUAAAGAUUUUAUUGUUAUUGGUGAGAUAACUAGAUUAAACUUCUUCAAUCUUUAUAUUUUCUCUUGAAGUGAAAGCUAAGGAUAUCUACAAAUAAAAGAAAUUCCAAACCUAACAAAAAAUUGAAGUGUACAUUAAACUUAUAAUUGAAUUUGGCCUUGUUGCUUAAAUUCUGAUUCUUUAUAUAUGAUUUUAUUGAUAUUUUAUUGCAAAAUGGAUUAUUAAAUCUCAUCAUUUUAUCAUCAUUAAUUCUUUUUAUUAAAAAGAAUAUUUUACGGCCAAUUCAUUUCAUGACAAUGAAUGAAUUUAUUUAACAUAUUAACGAUUUUUACUUUAUUGAAAAUAUAUUUUAAUAAAAAAAUUUAAUAGAUAGUUAUGAUGUUAUAUUAUUAUGAAAUAUAAAUAUAAAUAAAAAAACUCAAAGAAGGUAAGUUUUAUCACUCAACAAAUUUAAAAUGGAUAAAAAUAACAAUUGGAGUGUGAAUAGCUAGUGCUUUCAUUCUUUUUAUGAGAAUUAUGGUGUACUUUGAAUUGGUUUCAAAAUCUAAUGUAGAAACUCCCUUCAUACUAUGAAAUAAUUUGUCUUUGUCAAUUGAAUAUAAAAUUAAAAAAUAGCAAAAGAUAUUACCUUUGGAAACUAAGAGGAUAAUCUUUAGAGAAGUCCCCCUUCCCUCUCAUCAAAUUAUAUUAAAAAAUUAAGGAAUCAAAUUUUAAUAUCUUUUAUAGAAUUUGAUAGGGAAUUAGGGCCCAUCUUCAAGAUAGAGAUUAAAGAGAAAAUCAUUCUUAAAAAAUGAAUAUCUCCACUUUAGAAAUAAGUGUUUUGAUUUAUAUCUCCUCUUGAUAUCUAUUUUUCUCUGUAAAAUAAAAAUUAGUAUUCAUUAGUUACUACUGAAGUAACACAUGAAAUAUUUUAGUGAAUUAGAUCAAUUAAUCUAAAUUUCUAUAUUUAAAUAUUGCACUUGACCCAAUUGCAAUUGUGAUUUGAUUUCAGUAUAAUUGACGAAACCCAAAUGUGCUCAUUAAUUGUUAACAUCGAAAGUUUAAAAAAGUUGAAUGUGUUAAAAUCACUCGAAACCUAUAUAAAUAGAUACAUAUGAUUAAAAUGAAAAAACGAAGAGACACAAAAUAUUUAUAAUUCUUCCAAAUAAGUUUUAUUUAAUUCAACAAUUUGUUUAACAAUACUAAUGAUGUUGUUGAGUAGGAUUAUAGUUGAUAAUAAUAAAUAAUUGAUGAAAUCUUCAUGUUAAAACAAUACUAAUGACGAGAGGGAAGAUUGAAAAACAGAGAGGAAUUGUUUUGAGAUAUAGAGACGAGAAAAGAGAGAAAAUAGAGUAGAAGAGAGAAGAACCUCCACCGUCUGCCUUCUUCAAUAUUGCCGCCAUGAGAACCGCCUUGAGCCACUGUCGACAGCAGCUCUGUAAACCCCCGGUUAUAAUUUUUCUGGGUAUUUAAAAGAUGAGAAAUUUAACCAAUAGUAAAAGGGGUUAAAUUAAAUUAAAGAAACCUAAAUCAAGAUAAAAAUAGUGAAAUUAAUGAAAUGAAAAGUCAAUAUAGUACUAAAUUAUUGAAAAGAAAAACAUUUGUGAGGACAAAAUGAAUAUGUAAAAUCAAGAGAGGUCAAUAUUCAAAUAACAGAAGGUUGGGAGUUUAUGUACAAAUGAUAAAAAGGGGUGGGGAUAAAUGUGCAAUUAACAAGAUGUUAGAACUAUAAAUAUCAUUCUAUUUUCUCUCUUGGAGGAACUGACAAGAGUAAGAGAGAGUUUAGAGAGAGGCUGGACAGAAGACAUAUUGAUGGCAGAACAUCCGACAGCUAUAACUCCACCUUCCACCGUUGGAUCAGAACGAUAUUCAGAUAUAUUAUUCUCAUCCAUGUCAUGUACAUUUUCACUAUAGGGAUUUUCUAUAUGAGUCUCCGGUUGAGAGAUAUCGAGGGGGGAAAUAUCUGGGAAAAUACACUUCUGGACAAUCUUCUUUGCUGUCUGUUUUCUCUUUCGGCCACUGUUGGAUUAGGCUAUAAUUUGGAUAUGUUGUUCUUCCUGAUUCUGUCUAGACUCUGAACGGUGGAGAUCUGAAACAAACAUUCGGUAUAGAAGUUGUGUAUCUCACACAGUAGGUCUGCAAGUUUGAAGUCAGUUCGGUUAAACCCAUAUUUCUAGAAAUCGCACCAUUUGAUGAAGUUAAUAUUUGGAUAUGUUAUACUCAUAAUAAUGCAUUAUAACUUGACAGUAUGGAUUGUUUGGAAUAUUAUUCGUUUGUUAUUUAUGGUUGAUUGAAACUGUUUUCAAGGAUUGUGUUUAGAAGAAUAUUGUUCGGAAAGUUUGUAAAAUCGAUAAGAAUGUUUUAUUUUGACGUUAAGAGGGAAGAUUGAAAUAAAUAAGGUAAAUUGGCUCUUAAAAAGAUAUUUUUUUGACACUCUUAAAUGAUAUGUGAUAUGGCCAGGGGUUGAGAUAAAAGAGAAAAAGUUAAAUUAUGGAUGUUGUGUGUAAAUGAAAAGGUUGAUGAAUCUGGACAGAUUCGUCUCCUGACUUUUAAAGAGAAUUUGAGUAGGAGGAUGAGAGAAUUAGGAUCAAGUUUCUUCAUAGUAAUUGUAGUUUUGGAUGUUAGCUAACUAAGAAAAAUUGGUCUUGCUCAAUAUGGAGCUGUAGAACCCUAGCUAUGGGUCAUCAACUGAGAUUGGGUCCUGAUAGACCCUGUAGGGUAGUGUUUGUUGAUGAGCAAUUUUGACUAUUUCAGAGGCAGAACUGGGUUCUCCUUACUCAGAGAACUUGUAGCCUCGUGUAUUAGCUUUCCAACGAGACUAAUCUCGCUUGAAACAGAGUUCUAUAACUUUAGAUAUAGUUAAAAAUAUGAUGAGUGUUCAGACAAUGACAGUUGGACAAUAACAGUUCAAUAUCUAGACAGUAACAGUUAGAUAGUAACAAUUGGAAAUUUGACAGUAACAGUUCAAAGUUAGACAGUAAUAAUAAACUUUGACGUGAAUACUAUAUAAAAGAAUUGAGUCAUACGAACACUUGCACAUUGAGAUACUAACUCUAAAAAUAUACAUGAUAUAUGUAUGUAUGUUAUUAUGAGGAAAUGAACAUGCAUAAAAAGUAACAUAUGAGUAAUGGAUGAUUAUGGAUUCUCUGUAAUAUUGGACUGAAGGAAUGAUAACUAUGGUUGGAUAAAGGAUGACAACAUUAAUGGGUGUAAUGAGAAAAACAUGAGAUAUAAAGAAAGAAAUGAUUGAAAGAAAGAUUUAUUAGCUAUUGAUAUGAUUAUUAUAAAACAUAUCCUUGAAUGAGGAAAAUUUAUGAGAUGAGUUUGUGACUAUAGGAAGGACCACCUGUGUGGUGCAACAGCAGCAACAUGGGAGCACAAGUAGAGCUUCUACUGCAGGUAGGUGACUUUCACCUUCCUUUUAAAUAAUGUUGAAUAAUGAAAAUACUUUAUCAUGAAUAUUACUGUAUUGUGUUAAUUCAUAUACCAGAUUGUCAAAUGCUUAAAUGUAAACAAUUUAUUAGCUUCGGCUAAUGGCAUUCGAAGGGAUGACCGGGACAAACGAGUGAUUAGCUUUGGCUAAUGGCAUCCGAUAGGAUGGCCGGGACAAACGAAUGAUUAGCUUUGGCUAAACAAAUGAAUGAUUAGCUUUGGCUAAUGGCAUUCGAUGGGAUGACUGGGACAAACGAAUGAUUAGCUUUAGCUAAUUGCAUCCGAAGGGAUGGCCGGGACAAAUGAAUAAUUAGCUUUGGCUAAUUGCAUCUGAAAGGAUGACUGGGACAAACAAUUGAUUAGCUUUGGCUAAUGGCAUCCGAAUGGAUGACGGGGAAAAUUGAAUGAUUAGUUUUGGCUAAUGGCAUCCGAAUGGACGACCGGGACAAAUGGUUGAUUAGCUUUGGCUGAUGGCAUUCGAAGGGGAUGGCCGGGGUGAGUGAACAGUUAACCUCGACAAAUGAUGUCUUAAAAGAAUGGCUGGAUUUAAGAUUAUGGUUGAUUGUAAGAAUUGGUGCAUAUAUAUGUACUGCAAGUUGUGUAUACCAAGAACAUGAAGGAACUACAAAUGUCACGCUUCAAACAUGAGAUAAUGUUAAUGCUUCAUUAAAUUGCCAGACCAUUUUCUUCUUAUUAUUAUUAUUAAGUAAUUGCAUUCUUGUAAAUGUUUUGUACUGCAGUAGGGACGUCAUACCAACAAGGUGCCUAGAAAACGCAAUACACGGGAACCUACUUUUGCAAGGAAUCAUGUAGUUGCAUUCUAAAUCAUGAUGUAUUUUAUAUGAAUCAAUGUACUGAAUGUAUAACUAUUAUUAGAUCAUUUUAGAUUAAAUUCAUGAUGACUAUUUGUAGGAUAGAAUACAAACUCAUAUCUAUACAUGUAUAUUUUAAAUGCGAACUUAUAAUCAUGCAAACAUAAUAUUAUGAGUUUAUGUAAGAUUCACUUUUAACUGAAAAUGUUGAUUGUUGUUGAUGUAUGGAUUGUAUAUUGAUGAUGUGAAGGGAACAUGUUCGUCGAUUACCAACACGAUGUGUGUCAAGUACAAAAAAAAUAAAAAUUUACUGUUGUUUUGGGCUUGAAAAGUCGGGUUGUUACAAGCUCCACCACCAGCAGAAACAGAGGAGAAACCGAAACAAAACAGAGAAAAGGAGAAAGAACAGGAGGGAGGGCAGAAACAAAGGGCAAGGAAAACACAGAAAAAAGAACCACCAACCACCCUCAGCUCCCCAGUCUGCCACCGUUAGCGCCAAUAACAACGCCAUCGACAGUAGCUCCACCAUCGUCAGAGACCGAAGAAGAAAUGUAGAAGCAGGAGAAUAGAAACAAGGAGAAAAGGAAAACAUAGGAAAACAGAGAGAAAAACAAAGAAGAACCACCGUUUGGAAUCAUCCGUCCUCUGCGCCAUUCUUCCUCAACACUGCCACCGCUUGCCACAGUCAACACCAGCACCGCCACCACUGCCAGGUCAACUUCUUCUUCUUCGUCGUCCUCGGCUGCUCCACUAUUUUGCAUGAACAGUAAAGAGUCCUCCAUUUUUCACUAGGCCAGACAAGUUCGGCCCAACUCAAAAUGAGUGGGUCGAGUCCGGCUCAGUCCAAAUUUUUUUUAAAAAAAAAAUCAUUUCGAAAAUUUGUGAUUUUUCUGCAUAUUUUUCUGUCCAUUUUGAUUAGUAUCGGUUUGUAUUUUAAUAUCAUAAGGAUACGAAUCUGGUUUUCAUCGAAACGUUGCAAAAAAUAAAAAAAAUAUCUUGUUUUCAUGCAUAUGACCAAGUCUUAAUACGACAAAAAAUCAUAUCGUAUUUUCAUACGACAAAAAAUCAAAAAUAUGUGUUAGCAUGUAUUUUAGCUUUAAUAACCAGGUUAUUAAAGCCACGAGAACUUGGUCAAUAUUCCAAAAAAUUUCAAAAAAAUCAUUUUGUUUUCUUUUAGUAUCCGGGAUUACAAAUUUAUACAUACAACGUAUUCCCAAUAUUAAAAAGAUAUUUCUUUUUAUUAACGUUAGAACGGUUAGGUUUUACCCGAUAAGAUAAAGAUAUGCUUACCGAGGAUGACUUUUCUUAAACUAUAGACAGACCAACAUAUAGACGUUAGCAUAUAUUAGACAAUAAAACAAUACAACUUACCUUAGGUAGGGCGUAUUUGAGUUGCUAAUACUUUCACUUUACGCAACUAGUCCCCGUGCCCGAUCUCUGAGACCAGUUAGGGUUCCUAGUGACCAAAACACUAGGUGACGACUUUCAUUCCAUCAUUCCACCGAUAAAAGACAAGAAUUCUCUGAGUGGACAAUCAUCGCGACGCCGCAUACGUGCGACAACAUGAAAGUCAUAUUGUAUGGAAUUUGUAUGAUGUGUUUCUUGAGAGAAAGCUUGUAUUAUUCAAAAUAAACUUUUAUUAAGUGUAAAUUAUUUAAAAUAAUAAUAAUUUUAUUCAGAACCUUUAUAAAUCUAUACAUAUAAUUAAAUCUAAUCAUAUAAUUUUUUUAAAAAAUUAUUUGAUUGCUGUCUUGCGCUUCUAUUAUCGUGGAAUUAAGUAAAAUAUGAUUUUAUAAAAUAAAGUUGUUAGACCUCACUGAGUCAUUUGUUUGGCAUGUAUACUGGAGUUGAUUCAAGAUAUCAUCGUCUUAAUAUUUGAAGAACAAUGUUAAAAUGUUGAUGUCUUCAAUUCUUUCUAGUCAAACUAGAUUUUUACUAGGUCGAUUAGAUCAAACUUUAACUUACUUAGUUGAUUGGAUCAUAUAAAAGUAAAAUCUAACCCAAUUUAGCUUAACACCUAAGCUAGGAGAGGGCUAAACUCAAAAUGUCUAUGAUUUUAAUUGAAAUUCAUUAAAACAUUAACAACACCUGUAAAUACAUUUUUCUUUUUGCCAUCAAAUUUAAUUUUUUAUCAUACCUACAAUGUAGCUUGGUUAAGUUAAUUAUGGAUCAUCUUACUACUUUUGUUUUUCAAAUUUUGUCAAGAAAUACUGCUAAAACACAUAUUAGCAACAAUUAUAUAUAUAUAUAUAUAUAUAAAUUAAUCCUACCUCAUGCAAAACACGUGCCACUAGCUAGGUUAAUUUAAAGCACCACUUGCUUUGCGGUAUUGGAGAGAAUGUAGUCAUCAUAGAUUCUGUUUGGAAAACUGAUCUUCGAAGAGAUUAGGAGCUGGAUAUUGUCUUCCUCUUCCUCUUUUUUAAUAUUUAUCUAUAUCAUAUUCCUCGUCUUAUUCUUCACCACUGUAAAGGGAUAUUUGAAAGGAAAAAAAAAUUGUAAAGUUUUAUUGUGUUUUUACUUUCCCGUCAUAUAUAGUUUUAAAAAAUACAUUUAAAAUCCUAGGUCAAAUAAAAAUUUAAAAAUAAUAAUAAGAAAAUAUUAUCAUAUAUAAUAUAACACAAAUAAUAACUAUAACUAUGAUAUCAAUGUUCACUAGGGUUCCAGAUUAUAGCUAUUUGAUUAUAGAAUUAAAAAGUGAGUCAGCCAGAAGGUAGUUAAUUGGCAUUUCACAGACAUAAAAUGGGUGUUUAUAAGUGAGGUGGUAAUUAUUUUUUAAAGUGUUUUUUGACUUGAAAAUGCAUCAAAAUAAUAUUUUUUAUUUUUAAAAGAUUAAUUUUGACAUUAACACAUCAAUAAUUUGAAGUAAAGAAAAAAAUAAUUUUUUUUUUUUAAAAACCUUUUGAAAUAUAAAAACAAAUAGCCAUAAUAACAAGCAAAACAUCAGAUGCAGUUAAUGAUUCUUAUAAGAUUUAAUCAAUUAUUUUUGGAACACGACAGUUAAAACCUUUGAAAUUGAAGCAUGCACCAUAAAAUGAUGAUGAUGGCCUUGCUGAACUGAACCAGAUUGCCUCAGGUUGUGGCUUACGUCGCCUUGCGUUGUGAUAGGAAAGACGUCUACGACAGCUUCGCUUCUUGUCAUCAAACUCUGACAAUUCACGGAACCUAAACAAAUUUUGCAUCCUAAAUGCAGCAGCAGCAGCAGACUUUAGCCGUAGAUAAUAACAUCAGAAAGCUUAGCAAAAGCAACAAAGCUAAAUCAUGGAGAUUAAAAAUGAAUAAUUACUAAGAAUUCCCCAAGAAUCAAGAUUCAUGAGAGUGUUACGUAUCUGGAUGACAGAAUAGUGGGAGAUGUUGCAACAAGAAAAAGACUACUAUGGGGAGGCAAGAAGGAGCGGGAAGUAGAGACGCCAGGAGCACACAACCUGCUGUUUAGUUAUUAAUAUUCUUUUAGUUAGUUGGAGUACAUUCGGUUAGCAGAGUUUGUUAAUCACUUUGAGUUAGUUGGAUUAGUACAAUUUCGAUUUCAUUUCUCUCUUCUCUGCUAAUAUCAUUCUGCUUCUUAGCCUCAUCUUCUUGAUUUGUUAAGUGAUCUUAACAAUUGAUAUCAGAGCCUUAAGAUCUAACACUAUGAUGAAAAAUCAUAAGCUGAAAAACAUUGAAGAACACUGCAAGAAAUUGGAGGAGCGAAUGCAAAUCCUUCAACAAGAACUCUAAGAAUCCCUGGUCGAUCAACAAAACAAAUGGCAGGAACAACUCGGUGAACAAUUAAAGUUGGAAGACUAAUUAGAUUAGUGCUCAAAUUGAAACACUGUCGAAUCAAUUUCAAACAUUCCUUGCUCAUCAGAUGACAGGGAAGGAUGUGGGAAGCACUUCUAGAGGAAUCUUACAGGCACUAGCAAGCGGCAGUCUUGAAGGAAUGUUAUCAAGGGGAAAAGGUCCUGCUAGGGGAGAUCAAACUUAUGGCCAGGAGCAGUAGAGAGUGGUGCAUAAUGCUGCUCUUCCAAGGAUGGAUCUGACAACAUUUCGAGGAGAUAAUCCUAGGGGUUGGUUAAGGAGGUGCAAGAAGUUUUUUAGCCUCAACUCAACUCCAUUUCAGUAGUGGGUAGAACUAGCAUCUAUUUACUUGGAAGGAAAGGCAUAAAUCUGGUUUGAAGGCUAUAUGCGUGGGGUAAUUCACUGGUUACUAUGCGCACAACACAGUAACAAGCUAUCUAUGGGCCGAUUCUGGCCUAGUUUCUUUUGGGCUAGGCCAGGCCCAGUUUUUUUGGGAUUUGUACUAUUUCCUCGCGUAUUUUUAUGCCUUUUUUAUUAAUUAGUAUUGGAAUAUAUUUUUAUGUCAUUAAAAAUACAAAAUCUGGUAUUAAAAUACCCGGUUUUCGUCAAAACUUCCAAAAAUACAAAAAAAAUUGAAAAUAGAAAAAAUGUUUUUGUGCAUACGGCCAAGAGUCUCAAAGCUAAAAAAAAUCAUAUUGUGUUUUUCAUACACCAAAAAACAAUGUUUUAGCAUGCAUUUUGGCUUUAAUAACCAGUUUAUUAAAGUCCAGAGAACAUUGACCAAAAUUUAAAAAACAACAAAAAUUUUAUUUUGUUUUGUUUUAAUAUCAGGGAUUAUGAAUUUAUACGUAAAACGUAUUCCCGAUAUUAAAAAGGUAUUUUCUUUUGACAACAUAGAACAGUUAGGUUUGUACCCGAUAAGAUAAGAACCUUCUUAUUGAAGAGGGCUUUUCUUGACCCUUUAGACGGACCAACAAUUAGAAAACACAACAAGACCAUAAUUUUUAUCAAACAUUAAAACAAUGCAGCUUACCUUAGGUAGGGCGUAGUGGGGGUGCUAAUACCUUCCCUUUACGCAACCAGUCUCCGUACUCGAUCUCUGAGACUAGUUAGGGUUCCUAGUGACCAAAAUACUAGGUGGCGACUCCCAGUCCAUAUUUUACUGAUAAGAGACAAGAAUUCCUUGUCUCUCCAUAUUUGCCAGACAGACCUUUACCAUUUUCGUUGUGAAUGGUGGACGAUCGUCGCGACGCCGCACACGUGCGACAAUAUGGUUGGUGGGGCAGUUUUUUCUGGUAGAGGUAACAACAAUACCACAUCAGGUACUUGCUAAUGCAGAAAUAACAAGGUUAUUGGCAGACUAUGCAGUUGCUUUUCAAGAACCAACAUCAUUGCCACCUACCAGGAAACAUGAUCAUAGAAUUCCACUAACAACAGGAGCUCAACCCGUUAAUUGCAAACCAUAUAAGAGCUCUUUCUUUCAAAAGGGGGAGAUCGAAAUGAUGGUCAAGGAGAUGCUACACAACAACAUAAUACAACCCAAUGUUAAUCCCUUUGCCUCUUCUAUUCUUUUGGUGAAGAAGAAGGACAACACAUGGCGUUUUUGUGUAGACUUUCGACUGCUGAAUGAAAAAAUUUCUUAGUAUUCUUUGACGAUAUUCUCAUUUAUAGUUCCUCUCUAAAAGAACACAUCAGUCAUUUGAAGCAAGUCUUGGACACUCUUAAAACUAACCAACUGUAUGCGAAGAGAUUCAAGUGCACAUUUGCAGAGCCGCAAGUAGAGUAUUUGGGGCAUAUAAUUUCAGCUGAAGGGGUAGCCACUAAUCCUAAGAAGAAACAGGCAGUACAGGAGUGGCCAAUUCCAAAAUCCAUUAAGAAGCUAAGGGGAUUCCUUGGCCUAGCUGGUUAUUAUUGAAAAUUCAUUAGGAAAUUUGGUAUUAUUAGCAAGCCUUUGACAAAUAUGCUCAAGAAGAAUAACUUCAUUUGGCAUGAAGGAGCACUAGAGGCUUUUCGCAACCUGAAACAAGCAUUGUGUAAGGCUUCAAUCAUGGCCUUGCCGGACUUUACCAAACCGUUUGUGCUGGAACCAGACGCUUGUGAUACUGGAAUUGGAGCAGUACUUAGCCAGGAAGGAAGACCAUUAGCAUUUUUUAGCAAGGCCUUGGGAGUCAAACACUUGAGGCUAUCCAUUUACGAGAAGGAAUACCUUGCUAUUCUAAUGGCAGUCGACAAGUGGAGGCAUUACUUGGAACAAGAUCAGUUUGUCAUUCAAACUUAUCAUGAAAGUCUGACGUAUCUACUUGAUCAGAAAAUUCACACUCCUAUUCAAAAGAAGGGGCUAACUAAGCUAUGGGGGUUGAAUUAUCGGAUCAGGUACAGAAAAGGAAAGAAGAAUAAGGCUACAGAUGCCUUAUCUAGGAGGAAUAUACAGGGGGAAGAAGGUUGUCAAGGAAAUAAAAUGGAAGGGGGAAGGUUCACCGCCAUAACACAAAUAACUCCCUCCUGGUAUGACAAGAUUUAUGCCUCUUAUAAAGACGAUGCCAAGUUGCAGGAUAUAAUGAGGAGUAAACUGGUAGAUGCUGCACAAUCUCUCAACUUCAUAUGUUGAAGGAGUGAUUAAGUAUAAGGGGAGAGUUGUUAUAGGAUCUGCAGGGUUAUUAAAGGAAGAACUCAUCAAGUCUACCUAUGAUUCCUACAUUGGAGGACAUGCUAGGAUCCAAAAUACAUACAGACGACUUAAGGCUCACUUCUACUGGCCUUGUAUGACGAAAUUAGUGCAAGAAAUAGUUCAACACUGUGACAUUUGUAAACAAGCUAAGGCCGAAAGGGUCCCUUAUCCUGGAUUGUUACAGGCUCUUCCAGUUCCAAGUGGUUCUUGGCAGGAUAUAACCAUGGAUUUCAUAGAAGGAUUUCCAAGGUCAGAAGGCAAGGAUACCAUUAUGGUCAUUGUUGAUCGAUUUACGAAGUAUGGGCAUUUUAUCACAUUAGCCCAUCCCUUCACAGCUCAAGAGGUGGCUAAAUUUUUUCUGGAUCACAUUUAUAAGUUACAUGGCUUGCCUGCCACAGUAUUAACUGAUAGAGAUAAAAUUUUCACAAGCUUGUUCUGGAGAGAAUUGUUUAGACAUUUGGGCAUAAAGUUGUUACUAAACACCUCCUAUCAUCCUCUAACGGAUGGUCUGACCGAGAGGGUGAAUCAAUUCCUAGAGACUUACCUAAGGUGCAUCACUAUACAUUGUCCCAAAAGUGGAACACUUGGAUAUCGACAGCACAAUGGUGGUACAACAGUAGCUUCCACUCGGCUAUCAACAUGUCCCCAUUGCAAGCAUUAUAUGGAUAUGAACCCCCGGUAAGGGAGAUGGUACUCAUUGAGGCUACUCAAGUAGCUAUUGUGGAAGAAUGGAUGCAGAGAAGGCUUAAUAUGGAUCAGUUGAUCAAGGGGCUGUUGGAGGGGGUGAGGAAUAGAAUGAAACAGGUGGCAGAUAGGAGGUGUUCGGAAAGGACAUUCAUGGUGGGAGAUUGGGUCUUCCUAAAAAUUCAGCCUUACAGGCAGGGCAGUGUCAUGUACAGGAAGAAUUUCAAGCUAAAUCCCAGGUAUUAUGGCCCUUACCAAGUUAUUGAACGGAUUGGAGCUGUAGCUUACAAGCUCAAGUUACCAGAGGGGCGUGCAGUGCAUCCUGUGUUCCAUGUAUCGCUAUUAAGAAAGAAGGUGGGAGAGGUGGCCAUAGUUUCCCAAGCCCUGCGGAUCGUAGAUGAAGAAGGCAGAGUUAAGGUUUAUCCAGUCACCAUACUAGAAAGGAAGCUUAUGAAGAAAGAUAAUAGAGCCGUGGUGGCAGGCUUAAUUCAAUGGUCUAACUCAUUUCCUGAAGAUGCAACAUGGGAAGAAUUGACAGAAAUACAAUUGCAAUUUCCAGAAUUCAGUAUUGACCCUUAAUUGUCAAGAUUGUAGAUUCUUGAGCCAAGAAUCUUUUCGAGGAAGAGUUAUUGUUACGUAUCUGGAUGACAGAAUAGUGGGAGAAGUUGCAACAAGAAGAAAACUACUAUGGGGAGGCAAGAAGGAGCGGGAAGUAGAGACGCCAGGAGCACACAACCUACUGUUUAUUUAUUAAUAUUCCGUUUGUUAGUUGGAGUACAUUUAGUUAGAGUUAGUUGGAUUAAUCUGUUAGUAGUCAAUGUGGAUUACUAUGAAAGCACAUUGUAUGGAUUAUAUUGGAUAUGAAUAGAUUGCAGUCCAAUUUUGAUCUCAUUUCUCUCUUCUCUGCUAAUAUCAUUCUGCUUCUUAGCCUCAUCUUCUUGAUUUGUUAAGUGAUCUUAACAGAGAGAACCUGCCUGCUGCACUUUUUUUUGGAUUCCUGAAAAGGAUUUGUGUUCAAGAAUUCAUUAUGAAUGAUAAUUUUGUUAUUUUGAGAUUCCAAAGAGUUUUUAGUCAUUAAAAUAAUAAACUUGUAAAUAAGGAGAUAUAUUUUGUUGGCUUUUUUUUUUAAAAGGAUAUUAAAGGUAAAUGCACAUAUAAAAUUUAUGAUAUAAAAUAUAAUUUUUCAAACCAUAAUAAAAAAUAUAUAUAAUUGCGACCAAACCUAAGAAAAUCUUUUGUGAUUAUUGGUAAGAAUAAAUAAGAGCAUGGAUUAAUGGUAAAAAGAGAAUCACGUAUUAAACACAAAAGAUAAAUUAUUUUGAAUUCAACAAUUUAACAUGACAUGGAAGGAACAUGCAAUAGAGAGAGGAUCUAAUUUAACAUGUCGUACACAAUAAUAACUUAAUAUAUAGCUUCUUCUUUUUUUCUUUUUAAUUUUGGUACAAUAAAAAGCUCUUCAAAUAUGUAGAAUAAAAGCCCAAUCUACUUAGAUAUAACAUAUUUAGAGUAUGAGAUGAGAUCAGCUUAUACUGCAAAUAGUUUAUUACUGAGUUAUUGCGUAAUAAAUUAAUUGGAAUAGAGAGCAUGUAUCCCAUCAAUAUCAUCCUGAGCGAGAUCUCUUUUCUUCUUUCCAGGUGCUAUCGUUGGAUACAUGAUGGCUUCGGGAUGAUCUUUACUAUGAUAAAGGCCAAGCAGAUGUCCUAUUUCAUGAACAGUAACGGAUUCCAGGUCAGUUUGAUCCAUUGCGGGGUCAGUGCUCCAGUUCUCGUCUGCAUCGUAAUGGAGACGGCCGUCUUGUGGAAAAAAACCAUGAGCCAGUUGUUUCCCUGGUCCAUCAAAAGGAUCCUGAUCCCCAUGAUCGCCGCUGAAGAACU